ACGCUGGCGGCGUGCUUAACACAUGCAAGUCAAGGGGGCCCGCAAGGGCAACCGGCGAACGGGUGCGUAACACGUGAGCAAUCUGCCGAUUUCUGGGGGAUAGCCGGCCCAACGGCCGGGUAAUACCGCAUACGCUCAGGUGGGGGAGUCCCUGGCUGAGGAAACCGUUUGGGGAGAUCGAGGAGCUCGCGGCCUAUCAGCUAGUUGGCGGGGUAACGGCCCACCAAGGCACUGACGGGUAGCUGGUCUGAGAGGAUGGCCAGCCACAUUGGGACUGAGAGACGGCCCAGACUCCUACGGGAGGCAGCAGUGGGGAAUCUUGCGCAAUGGCCGGAAGGCUGACGCAGCGACGCCGCGUGUGGGAGGACGCCCUUCGGGGUGUAAACCACUGUUGCCCGGGACGAAUCCGCCUUGUUGAGGGCGUUGACGGUACCGGGUGAGGAAGCACCGGCUAACUCCGUGCCAGCAGCCGCGGUAAUACGGAGGGUGCGAGCGUUGUCCGGAAUCACUGGGCGUAA
rnacentral:rRNA from 1 species